UAGUGGCGAACGGGUGAGUAACACGUGGGCAAUCUGCCCUUCACUCUGGGACAAGCCCUGGAAACGGGGUCUAAUACCGGAUAACACUUUUCCCUGCAUGGGGGAGGGUUGAAAGCUCCGGCGGUGAAGGAUGAGCCCGCGGCCUAUCAGCUUGUUGGUGGGGUGAUGGCCUACCAAGGCGACGACGGGUAGCCGGCCUGAGAGGGCGACCGGCCACACUGGGACUGAGACACGGCCCAGACUCCUACGGGAGGCAGCAGUGGGGAAUAUUGCACAAUGGGCGGAAGCCUGAUGCAGCGACGCCGCGUGAGGGAUGACGGCCUUCGGGUUGUAAACCUCUUUCAGCAGGGAAGAAGCGUGAGUGACGGUACCUGCAGAAGAAGCGCCGGCUAACUACGUGCCAGCAGCCGCGGUAAUACGUAGGGCGCAAGCGUUGUCCGGAAUUAUUGGGCGUAAAGAGCUCGUAGGCGGCUUGUCGCGUCGGAUGUGAAAGCCCGGGGCUCAACCCCGGGUCUGCAUUCGAUACGGGCAGGCUGGAGUGUGGUAGGGGAGAUCGGAAUUCCU
rnacentral:rRNA from 4 species